rnacentral:rRNA from 1 species
GAUGAACGCUGGCGGCGUGCCUAAUACAUGCAAGUCGAGCGAACAGACGAGGAGCUUGCUCCUCUGACGUUAGCGGCGGACGGGUGAGUAACACGUGGAUAACCUACCUAUAAGACUGGGAUAACUUCGGGAAACCGGAGCUAAUACCGGAUAAUAUAUUGAACCGCAUGGUUCAAUAGUGAAAGACGGUUUUGCUGUCACUUAUAGAUGGAUCCGCGCCGCAUUAGCUAGUUGGUAAGGUAACGGCUUACCAAGGCAACGAUGCGUAGCCGACCUGAGAGGGUGAUCGGCCACACUAGAACUGAGACACGGUCCAGACUCCUACGGGAGGCAGCAGUAGGGAAUCUUCCGCAAGGGGCGAAAGCCUGACGGAGCAACGCCGCGUGGGUGAUGAAGGUCUUCGGAUCGUAAAGCUCUGUUAUUAGGGAAGAAGAAAUGUGUAAGUAACUAUGCACGGCUUGACGGUACCUAAUCAGAAAGCGACGGCUAACUACGUG